GCAGUGAUGGUUCAGUGGUAGAACUCUCACCUUCUAUGUGGGAGACCUGGGUUCGAUUCCUAGUCAAUGCA
rnacentral:tRNA from 2 species